UAAUCUGCAGUCGAGCCGACCGACGGGAGCUUGCUCCCUUAGGUCAGCGGCGGACGGGUGAGUAACACGUGGGUAACCUGCCUGUAAGACUGGGAUAACUCCGGGAAACCGGGGCUAAUACCGGAUGCUUGAUUGAACCGCAUGGUUCAAUCAUAAAAGGUGGCUUUCAGCUACCACUUACAGAUGGACCCGCGGCGCAUUAGCUAGUUGGUGAGGUAACGGCUCACCAAGGCGACGAUGCGUAGCCGACCUGAGAGGGUGAUCGGCCACACUGGGACUGAGACACGGCCCAGACUCCUACGGGAGGCAGCAGUAGGGAAUCUUCCGCAAUGGACGAAAGUCUGACGGAGCAACGCCGCGUGAGUGAUGAAGGUUUUCGGAUCGUAAAACUCUGUUGUUAGGGAAGAACAAGUACCGUUCGAAUAGGGCGGUACCUUGACGGUACCUAACCAGAAACCACGGCUAACUACGUGCCAGCAGCCGCGGUAAUACGUAGGUGGCAAGCGUUGUCCGGAAUUUUGGGCGUAAAGCGCGCGCAGGCGGUUUCUUAAGUCUGAUGUGAAAGCCCCCGGCUCAACCGGGGAGGGUCAUUGGAAACUGGGGAACUUGAGUGCAGAAGAGGAGAGUGGAAUUCCACGUGUAGCGGUGAAAUGCGUAGAGAUGUGGAGGAACACCAGUGGCGAACGCGACUCUCUGGUCUGUAACUGACGCUGAGGCGCGAAAGCGUGGGGAGCGAACAGGAUAGAUACCCUGGUAGUCCACGCCGUAAACGAUGAGUGCUAAGUGUUAGAGGGUUUCCGCCCUUUAGUGCUGCAGCAAACGCAUUAAGCACUCCGCCUGGGGAGUACGGUCGCAAGACUGAAACUCAAAGGAAUUGACGGGGGCCCGCACAAGCGGUGGAGCAUGUGGUUUAAUUCGAAGCAACGCGAAGAACCUUACCAGGUCUUGACAUCCUCUGACAACCCUAGAGAUAGGGCUUCCCCUUCGGGGGCAGAGUGACAGGUGGUGCAUGGUUGUCGUCAGCUCGUGUCGUGAGAUGUUGGGUUAAGUCCCGCAACGACCGCAACCCUUGAUCUUAGUUGCCAGCAUUCAGUUGGGCACUCUAAGGUGACUGCCGGUGACAAACCGGAGGAAGGUGGGGAUGACGUCAAAUCAUCAUGCCCCUUAUGACCUGGGCUACACACGUGCUACAAUGGGCAGAACAAAGGGCAGCGAAGCCGCGAGGCUAAGCCAAUCCCACAAAUCUGUUCUCAGUUCGGAUCGCAGUCUGCAACUCGACUGCGUGAAGCUGGAAUCGCUAGUAAUCGCGGAUCAGCAUGCCGCGGGAAUCGUCCCGGCUU
rnacentral:rRNA from 1 species